rnacentral:tRNA from 1 species
GGUUUUAUAUUCAUUUAAUGAUGUUAGAAUGCAAUUCUAAUGGUGUAAUAAAGUUACUAAGACUU